AUUCUGUCUCGCGACUUUGAAGUGAGAGGGUUUUAUGAUAGGCUGCACUUUUCGAAGUUAGGAAGUUUACUAAAGUACAUAAAUCUACUUACCUAAUGGUGCCGUGGGUUUGCUGUACUUUUAACUCUAUACACAUUUUGAAGAUAGAACAUGGAACGAAACAAGAUUUCUUCUAAUGGGUAACAGUGGUGGUAAAUGGUCCCAAUGGGGGACUCUGCCGAAUCUACCGACCACCAGGUGCAGAUGAUGUAUACAAGAGCACAUGGUUUGCUUUUGACAGUUUGAAAUUUCUUUUUGACAAGAACAACCCACGCCAGACUGAGCAGGAUGGCAACCGGUGACGAAAAUGCGACGACCUGAAAAUGAACAAGUGCCACAAUCCCCUGGCAGCAGUUUUUCCGAACGCUCGGGAAUUACUUGAACGCCACAGCCCACACCGAAUAACCGCAAGAGAAAAUCUGUCAAUGAUGAUCGUCUUGACAAAGCGUUCAGUAUUAUUGCAGCUUACAGCAAUGAACAGAAUGAUGAAUGCCAGUCAUUUGGUAAUUUUGUCACGAUGAAGCUUCGAUCAUUCACUGACGACGAGAGUACGCAUCUACAAGCGGACAUAAUGACAUUGUUUGUUAAGGCAAAACGUGGGUUCUACAGCUAACCUGCCAUGGCCAACCCCCCUUCAAACUUAAAAACCUCGUAUCAACGUGGAAGUUUCAAUGAACCUUUCAUAAGCACUGUACAACCACUUCAGUCUUUUGCAAACAUUUCUGCGGCGGCCAGUCCUGCUUCCGAUUCUUAAUCUGUUUCAGAGGACAGCUUGAUCAUUACAGACCUGCUGUAAAUAGGUUUUCGACCAUAUGUCUAGCAUAAUUAUUAUACAACAUGGGUAAUAAAUAAUCAAACAUGAUAAUGUAAACCUGUUAUUUGGUUUGUGCAAACUAAUUUACCUCUCCUACGCCUAACUGCAAGGCAAAUAAAUUUUGUACUCACUUGUAGUUGCUAUGAGAAUAAUGUUUGAUACCAUUUUAUAAAAUACAAUACAUUUCUUUCUCUGUGUAUGUGUUUGUAAAGACAGAUUAAAAAUUAAUAACCUGAUGUUAAA